rnacentral:rRNA from 1 species
UACGUAGGUGGCAAGCGUUAUCCGGAUUUAUUGGGCGUAAAGGGAACGCAGGCGGUCUUUUAAGUCUGAUGUGAAAGCCUUCGGCUUAACCGGAGUAGUGCAUUGGAAACUGGGAGACUUGAGUGCAGAAGAGGAGAGUGGAACUCCAUGUGUAGCGGUGAAAUACGUAGAUAUAUGGAAGAACACCAGUGGCGAAAGCGGCUCUCUGGUCUGUAACUGACGCUGAGGUUCGAAAGCGUGGGUAGCAAACAGG